UCCCAGCCGCCACCUCCCACCUCCUCUCCAUCUCCUCUCCUCUCCCUUAGCUGGCAGAUCGGGCGGCAAGCCGCCGACCAACCGGCGGCGUCGCGGCUACUACAUCCCGACGGCGGCGAGCUCCCGAUGAGCCACGGGGAGGGGGCGGGCUGCAGGCGGCGGCAUGUCGGCGCGCAGCAGGGAGCCGGGGGGCGGGGGCGAAGUUGGGAGGGUGCCGGCGUGUGGUGCGGGAGCCAGUAUGGGGUGGUGGCGGGAGGCAGCGCGUCAGCGCGCGGCGAGGAGUCGAGAGGGGAGGGGGCGUAGGCAUGCCGUGUGGCGACCGCUGGAGGGCCGAGCCACGGAGGACGCCGGCACCGGCGUGAGGUGCGGGAGACGGGAGGGGCAGUGGCGGGCGGGAAGAGGCACGCCGGCGCCGGAGCUCGAACGGCUGAGGGCGUGGGGCGUGGGCAGCGUGUCAGGCGGCAGGAAGCAGGCGUGCUCCAGCAUGAAGACAACAGUUCUGCUCCAGCGUCGGGCGACACGGAGUGAGGUGGCUGAGCUUGGAAUUUGAUGGAUGGUCUUGAAAAAUUCCCGGGUACAGGACUGACAACGUGAGACAUGCAUGUGUUUUAAGUGUAGUUGAACUUCAAGGCUGUGAUCGCUUUUGGUACUAUGGAACUUGGUGGUGUAUGUCCCUGCUAGAACUUGGUGCUAGCUACUGGUUGCUUGCAGGUGCUGGCUGGAAUUUUUUUUGUGUUGGUUGCUGGAACACAAGAUUUUUUUGCGCUUGUUGCUGGCUGCUAGCAAGAUGCAGGUUGGAAGAGCAAUGGCUGCUUGGUGGAAUUUUUUUGCUGGCUGUUGGCAAGAUGCACACCGAAACUUAGUAGUGGUUGCUUGGUGGAAUUUUUUGGUGUAGGUACUUGGCACUACCUGUAGUAACUUUGUAGUUGGCUGGGACUUGUAGUUGGAUGAUGGAUGGAUCAUUUUCAUUCAUGUUUUGUACUUUUGUAUGGAAACUGUAUUCUGGAACUUGCUUGCUUUUGUAUGUGCUGGAAAGUUAAUUAUGGACAGAAUGUGAUUAUAAUAUAAUUAUGCAAAUGGUUUUGGUUUAUAUUC